rnacentral:rRNA from 1 species
CCUGACUGCUAUCGGAUUGAUACUAAGCCAUGCGAGUCAUUGUAGCAAUACAAGGCAGACGGCUCAGUAACGCGUAGUCAACCUACCCUAUGGACGGGAAUAACCUCGGGAAACUGAGAAUAAUGCCCGAUAGAACACUAUACCUGGAAUGGUUUGUGUUUCAAAUGAUUUAUCGCCGUAGGAUGGGACUGCGGCCUAUCAGUUUGUUGGUGAGGUAAUGGCCCACCAAGACUAUUACAGGUACGGGCUCUGAGAGGAGAAGCCCGGAGACGGGUACUGAGACACGGACCCAGGCCCUAUGGGGCGCAGCAGGCGAGAAACCUUUGCAAUGUGCGCAAGCACGACAAGGUUAAUCCGAGUGUUUCCUGCUAAAGGAAUCUUUUGUUAGUUGUAAAACCACUGACGAAUAAGGGGUGGGCAAGUUCUGGUGUCAGCCGCCGCGGUAAAACCAGCACCUCAAGUGGUCAGGAUGAUUAUUGGGCCUAAAGCAUCCGUAGCCUGUUUUGUCAGUUUUCGGUUAAAUCUGUACGCUCAACGUACAGGCUGCCGGGAAUACUGCAGAGCUAGGGAGUGGGAGAGGUAGACGGUACUCGGGAGGAAGUGGUAAAAUGCUUUGACCUCUCGAUGACCACCUGUGGCGAAGGCGGUCUACCAGAACACGUCCGACGGUGAGGGAUGAAAGCUGGGGGAGCAAACCGGAUUAGAUACCCGGGUAGUCCCAGCUGUAAACUAUGCAAACUAAGUGAUGCAUUGGCUUGUGGCCAAUGCAGUAUUUCAGGGAAGCCGUUAAGUUUGCCGCCUGGGAAGUACGUACGCAAGUAUGAAACUUAAAGGAGUUGGCGGGGGAGCACCACAAGGGGUGAAGCCUGCGGUUC